rnacentral:rRNA from 1 species
AUUGAACGCUGGCGGCAGGCCUAACACAUGCAAGUCGAACGGUAACAGGAAGCAGCUUGCUGCUUCGCUGACGAGUGGCGGACGGGUGAGUAAUGUCUGGGAAACUGCCUGAUGGAGGGGGAUAACUACUGGAAACGGUAGCUAAUACCGCAUAACGUCGCAAGACCAAAGAGGGGGACCUUCGGGCCUCACACCAUCGGAUGUGCCCAGAUGGGAUUAGCUAGUAGGUGGGGUAAUGGCUCACCUAGGCGACGAUCCCUAGCUGGUCUGAGAGGAUGACCAGCCACACUGGAACUGAGACACGGUCCAGACUCCUACGGGAGGCAGCAGUGGGGAAUAUUGCACAAUGGGCGCAAGCCUGAUGCAGCCAUGCCGCGUGUAUGAAGAAGGCCUUCGGGUUGUAAAGUACUUUCGGCGGGGAGGAAGGCGGUGAAGUUAAUAGCUUCACCGAUUGACGUUACCCGCAGAAGAAGCACCGGCUAACUCCGUGCCAGCAGCCGCCGCCG